rnacentral:misc_RNA from 1 species
CGUGGAGACUUUGAUCUAAGAGGUGUCCUGGAGUCUCCCUAUUUCUUCAACUAGUCUGAGCAAUAUACUAAUCUUGACUGAUCUGAAAUUGCACUUCGUACAUCUCUCAUUUAAUUGCAAGGUGAUGGCAGUUUAUUAACUCAUCCCUGUGCAAAUUUGUGAAAGUCACAAGUAUCCAACUGCUCAAUUGAGGAAGAAAAGGCAGAGAAGAAG